rnacentral:rRNA from 1 species
UACGUAGGGGGCUAGCGUUGUCCGGAAUCAUUGGGCGUAAAGAGCGUGUAGGCGGCCUGGUAAGUCCGCUGUGAAAGUCCAGGGCUCAACCCUGGAAUGCCGGUGGAAACUGUCAGGCUCGAGUCCGGAAGAGGCGAGUGGAAUUCCUGGUGUAGCGGUGAAAUGCGCAGAUAUCAGGAGGAACACCGGUGGCGAAGGCGGGUCUCUGGGCCGAUACUGACGCUGAGGAGCGAAAGCGUGGGGAGCGAACAGG